GACGAACGCUGGCGGCGUGCUUAACACAUGCAAGUCGAACGAAAAGGCCCUGCUUUUGUGGGGUGCUCGAGUGGCGAACGGGUGAGUAACACGUGAGUAACCUGCCCUUGACUUUGGGAUAACUUCAGGAAACUGGGGCUAAUACCGGAUAGGAGCUCCUGCUGCAUGGGGGGGGUUGGAAAGUUUCGGCGGUUGGGGAUGGACUCGCGGCUUAUCAGCUUGUUGGUGGGGUAGUGGCUUACCAAGGCUUUGACGGGUAGCCGGCCUGAGAGGGUGACCGGCCACAUGGGGACUGCGAUACGGCCCAGACUCCUACGUGAGGCAGCAGUGGGGAAUAUUGCACAAUGGGCGGACGCCUGAUGCAGAAACGCCGCGUGCGGGAUGACGGCCUUCGGGUUGUAAACCGCUUUCGCCUGUGACGAAGCGUGAGUGACGGUAAUGGGUAAAGAAGCACCGGCUAACUACGUG
rnacentral:rRNA from 1 species